AGUGAACGCUGGCGGUAGGCCUAACACAUGCAAGUCGAACGGCAGCACAGUAAGAGCUUGCUCUUACGGGUGGCGAGUGGCGGACGGGUGAGGAAUACAUCGGAAUCUACUUUUUCGUGGGGGAUAACGUAGGUAAACUUACGCUAAUACCGCAUACGACCUACGGGUGAAAGCAGGGGAUCUUCGGACCUUGCGCGAUUGAAUGAGCCGAUGUCGGAUUAGCUAGUUGGCGGGGUAAAGGCCCACCAAGGCGACGAUCCGUAGCUGGUCUGAGAGGAUGAGCAGUCACACUGGAACUGAGACACGGUCCAGACUCCUACGGGAGGCAGCAGUGGGGAAUAUUGGACAAUGGGCGCAAGCCUGAUCCAGCCAUACCGCGUGGGUGAAGAAGGCCUUCGGGUUGUAAAGCCCUUUUGUUGGGAAAGAAAAGCAGCAGGUUAAUACCCCGCUGUUCUGACGGUACCCAAAGAAUAAGCACCGGCUAACUUCGUG
rnacentral:rRNA from 1 species